rnacentral:rRNA from 1 species
UACGUAGGGGGCAAGCGUUGUCCGGAUUUAUUGGGCGUAAAGCGCGUGUAGGCGGCCAGGUAGGUCCGCUGUGAAAACUCGAGGCUCAACCUCGAGACGUCGGCGGAAACCAUCUGGCUAGAGUCCGGAAGAGGAGAGUGGAAUUCCUGGUGUAGCGGUGAAAUGCGCAGAUAUCAGGAAGAACACCUAUGGCGAAGGCAGCACUCUGGGACGGUACUGACGCUGAGACGCGAAAGCGUGGGGAGCGAACAGG